GUGGCCCAUUAGGACUGCUGGGGGUGGGGGAUGGGGAAAGGCAGCUGGACCCGGAGAUGAGCGAGAGAAUCAGGAAGGGAUGCAGCCAUAAGCAAGCUGCAGGUCACACCCCGACCUUCCCCAGGAAACACCAGAGCCUGCCCUGCCCCCGGUUCCCUACUCCCCUGACUCCCAACCAGAGCACACAUAUCUAAGGAAAUCAUUGUGGUGUCCAAGAACAAGGGAGAAAAUAUGGAGGUACAAACGCUCGUGAAAGAACAAAUUCCUCACCAGGAGGGGAGGAGUAUGGUGGCGCCAACAGAGCAGGAGACCGACGACGACGACGACGACGACGACGACGACACUGUGAAGGCUGUCAGAAGCAAAAAUAGAGCCACUCUUUGUUAUAGUGAAGGGAUCUCCUCUAGGCCUGACGUGCCAUCCUGCCGGUCAUCAUAGAGCAGAGAUGUGUGAAGACCCGAAGAAUGAAUGACAUCUAGGUUUAUGGUAAUGGUAGUGGGGCUGUUAAUAUUCACUCACAGGAAAAGGAGAUAAUUGCAUCCCUGUUUUUUAUCCUGGGGGUCUUGGGGGUUCCUAUUGGAGCAUAUAGGGAGUGGAAGGCUGGCUGGAGGUGGGAAUUCCCAUGAUGCAGCUUUCCCGAGUUAUCAUCCAUGCUGAGGUGGAACUUCUUGAUAAUAUAAUUGUUGAUUCACCCAUGAUCCUAUAAGUAACCCCUUCCCAAGUCCUGUCAGUAAUUCCAAUAAACUUACUUGGCUCACCAAUUUGAA